rnacentral:rRNA from 1 species
AUACGGAGGAUGCAAGCGUUAUCCGGAUUUAUUGGGUUUAAAGGGUGCGUAGGCGGGCUUGUAAGUCAGUGGUGAAAUGCUGUGGCUUAACCAUAGAAUUGCCAUUGAAACUGCAAGUCUUGAGUACAGUUGAGGUGGGCGGAAUGAGUAAUGUAGCGGUGAAAUGCAUAGAUAUUACUCAGAACACCGAUUGCGAAGGCAGCUUGCUAAACUGUAACUGACGCUGAUGCACGAAAGCGUGGGUAGCAAACAGGAUUAGAUACCCUGGUAGUCCACGCAGUAAACGAUGAGCACUGGUUGUUGGCAAUACACCGUCAGCGACUGAGCGAAAGCAUUAAGUGCUCCACCUGGGGAGUACGUCGGCAACGAUGAA